rnacentral:rRNA from 1 species
CUACGGGGGGCUCCAGUGAGGAAUAUUGGACAAUGGAGGAAACUCUGAUCCAGCCAUGCCGCGUGAGUGAAGAAGGCCUUAGGGUUGUAAAGCUCUUUCAAUUGUGAAGAUAAUGACGGUAGCAAUAGAAGAAGCUCCGGCUAAAUUCGUGCCAGCAGCCGCGGUAAUACGAAUGGAGCAAGCGUUGUUCGGAAUCACUGGGCUUAAAGCGUGCGCAGGCGGACUUGAAAGUCAGAAGUGAAAGCCCCGGGCUCAACCCGGGAACUGCUUUUGAAACUCAAGUCUAGAAUUCGAUAGAGGCAAGGGGAAUUCCUAGUGUAGAGGUGAAAUUCGCAGAUAUUAGGAGGAACACCAGUGGCGUAGGCGCCUUGCUGGGUCGAUAUUGACGCUCAUGUACGAAAGCGUGGGGAGCAAACAGGAUUAGAUACCCGAGUAGUC